rnacentral:rRNA from 1 species
CACGUAGGGGGCAAGCGUUGUCCGGAUUUAUUGGGCGUAAAGAGCUCGUAGGCGGUUCGGCAAGUCGGGUGUGAAACCCCCAGGCUCAACCUGGGGACGCCACCCGAUACUGCUGUGACUUGAGUCCGGUAGGGGAGCGUGGAAUUCCUGGUGUAGCGGUGAAAUGCGCAGAUAUCAGGAGGAACACCGGUGGCGAAGGCGGGUCUCUGGGCCGAUACUGACGCUGAGGAGCGAAAGCGUGGGGAGCGAACAGG